CUCUGGUCUGGGCACCUUCUCACCACUGGGGGCAGGCAGAGACAUGCAGGGUGAGGGGGUGGACCAGCCCAGAGGGAGGUUAACUACACCAUCACAGGGCAGUCUGACCCUUUGGUUUUAUAGUUGAGAAAAAUGGGGCCCUCAGAAGCACAGUGGGGCUCCCCAGGCACUUGAUUAAUGACUUCUGGGGAGAGGAGGGGCUCAAAAGUCACCCAAACCAAUUCCCCCCGUUUUACUGAGCAAGAAGCCGGGACAGAGGAAGGAAGAAAGACUCAGCCCGACCAUGCUCCAGCCAUCCUCGACUUAGAAAUGGCAAGGCUAGGAAGCUCUCUUUUGUGGGGAAGCCAAGAAGAGAAGAGAUAGGGGAGAUGAGCCCCUACAGAGCUCUGGACCCAGUUUUCUCCCCUGUAAGACCAGACGCUUGGGCCAGAUGUGAAAAUCAAGGUACCCAGAAAUGACUUGACCGUGACUUGACCGAAGUCACAAAGGUUGUGGCCUGGAUGAAGUGGCAUUUGAACCCAGGCACUAGGAAGCCAAAUCUGAUGCUCUAGAGAUAAUGUAUGUGGACUAUAAAGAGGAGAGCUGGACUCUGCGACUGAUCUCUCCCAAAGCCGUUAGGGAACAAAGAGGUCUCCCGUUUCCAGGGUUGGAGACACAGGAUGCUUCGAGUCUAGUCUCAUACCAGGAAUCUUCACAAGAACACAGCCAACAAGUAGCCAUCCAGCCACUGACUGAAGAACGGGGAGGACAUGGAGUUCAUCACUUUUCUAGACAAAAUCCAGGAUUCUGCCCCAGCAUCCCUGAGGCACAUUUGUAAUUCAAACAGAGAGGUGGCCAGGAGAGGGCACAUCUUGUCCAAAGUCACAGAACCUGAGCUGGAAAGCACCACCUGGGUCCAACCAGCCCUGAUCAGAAAACCUUUCUACAAGAUCUCCAAUAAGGGAUUAUCCAGUCUCUGCCUGAGGACCUCUGCUAAAGGCCACACUCUGGCCUAAGGGCUCAAUAAGACUCAACUUUCUAAAUCUGCAACCAAGCACAUCUCUAUACCAAAGGAGUGGUAGCCUGGGAACCACCACAAACAAGUGGGCCUAGAAGGACCAAGCUGGGGCUCUGAAGAAAGGAGGGCCCAAAGAUUACUGAGAACCCUGAAGAUACCCCAAGAACCCUGUUGGGAACCCUUGAGAGACACCAUCUAUACCAAGAGGUUAAGCAAGAAGAGUUACCUUGGCAUUCUAGAGGAGCAGAGAAAGUAACCUCAUAUAGGGCUUUCUGAAUUCAUCAAUACCUUUUUUCAGACCACUCCCUCCAUCCCCUUACAAAAAAAUCCCAACGCACACCUCUAAUUCUAGGCUGCUCUUCUGUAAACACCUCUACUCUCUUCUUGGGCACAGAGCCUUGGUAUCACCUUUCCCCUUUCCCUUUUUUUUUUUAAAUCCCAGAUUCUCCACUAUCCCCAUCUUACUCAGGGCCUUCUAUCACCCCACACAGAUUAAUUCAACAGCCUCUUCACAGAUCUCUGUCUCCAGCCUUCCUCCCUUCAACUCAUCCUUCCCAUGCUACUGCAUCAAUUACCUAAGACAACCAAUCAUGUCACUCUCCUGAGCUAAAUAUUUAGAAACAUUCAAGGCUCUCUACCUCCUCUCAUAAUUUUAUCCAUAUCCUACUCAUACUCUGAGGCCUGCAGCUCAGUAAUAUACAAUGGAAAAGAGGAGGAUUUGGAGUCAAAAGAUAUUGGUUUGCAUCCUGGCCCUGCUAAUUACUACCUGGACAAGUUGCUCAAUCUCUCUGACCCUAAUUUUUUUACAUGUUUGGAGUAGAUGGCCUCUAAGGUUCCUUCCAAGAUCUUUGAUCCAGUCAUCCUAAGAUAUUGUCCUUAGCCAUAACAACUUACAACCAUAGACUACCUUGUCUUGAUCUCCAAUUGUGUUACAAAGGUCCAUCUGAUUUCUCCAACCAAACUUUAAAUGAGAAGGAAGGACCAAAUCUUCUAUUGUCUCUCCAAAAAUAUCAAUCUCGGGGCUGAAUGCAUAGACUCCCUGGCCUAAGGUCAUCUGCCUUUUAAGAUGUUUGUACAUCUUAAAUGGAGAGAAUCAAGAGAAGAGAGACAGUCUAGUCAAGUGCAGGAAAAGCUCUUUGCAAAUAUGGAAGUUACUAUAUUUAGGGAAGACUAACUAAAGGAACUCAACUUCUCAACUCCAA